rnacentral:rRNA from 1 species
AUUUUAUAAUAUUACCAAGGUAAUUAUUAUAUUAUCAACAUCCUUCCUAUUAUAUUCUAAAUAUAUAGGAAAUUUUACUUUGAGAAAAUUAGAGUGCUUAAAGCAGGCAACUGCCUUGAAUACUCCAGCAUGGAAUAAUAAGUAAGGACUUUUGUCUUUCUUAUUGGUUCUAGGACAAAAGUAAUGGUUAAUAGGGACAGUUGGGGGCAUUCGUAUUUAACAGCCAGAGGUGAAAUUCUUAGAUUUGUUAAAGACGAACUACUGCGAAAGCAUUUGCCAAGGAUGUUUUCAUUAAUCCAAGAACGAAAGUUAGGGGAUCGAAGACGAUCCAGAUACCGUCGUAGUCUUAACCCAUAAACUAUGCCGAC